rnacentral:rRNA from 1 species
UUGAAUAAAUUUGGUUAGAGUUGUUGCUGACUCUUUGGAGUAUGUGCACGCUCACACCAUUUAUAACCACCUGUGCACUAUCUGUAGACUGUAAAUGCUUGAGGAUUGGCCACAUCAGCUGUUCCUCGUAUUUAGGUCUAUGUCUUUAUAUCCACCAUGACUGUUUAAGAAUGUUAUAUUUAGGCCUUUGUGCCUUUAAAAUGGAAACAACUUUCAACAACGGAUCUCUUGGCUCUCGCAUCGAUGAAGAACGCAGCGAAAUGCGAUAAGUAAUGUGAAUUGCAGAAUUCAGUGAAUCAUCGAAUCUUUGAACGCACCUUGCGCUCCUUGGUAUUCCGAGGAGCAUGCCUGUUUGAGAGUCAUUAUAUUCUCAACCUCAUCAGCUUUUUGAAAGUUAAAUGGGGCUUGGAUAUGGAAGUUGCGGGUUUUUUUUUACUGAAAUCAGCUCUUCUUAAAUGUAUUAGCAGGACUUCUACUGAUCAUCUUUUGGUAUGAUAAUUAUCGAUAUCAACAAAGACUCAGUCUAUUCCGCUACCAACUGUCUUUUGUUUAGACAACAUAUAUGACUAUUUGACCUCAAAUCAGGUAGGACUACCCGCUGAACUUAAGCAUAUCAAUAAGCGGAGGAAAAGAAACUAACAAGGAUUCCCCUAGUAACUGCGAGUGAAGCGGGAAAAGCUCAAAUUUAAAAUCUGGUAGUCUUUGGCUGCCCG